AACCAAGUGUUGCAGCUGCGGCACACAAUUUUGCACCUUUUCUACUGGGAAAUGACUUUUUUGAUGUGUCAGAACCUGUCCCAGGGUUUGUUAGCAGCAAGAAGAAAUCUUGUGCUGAAAGCCCCAG